rnacentral:lncRNA from 1 species
AGCCACAUGGCACAGGUUCAUGGUGGAAGCAAAUUUAGUUGCUUAGAAUCCUUGGAAUUGGUUUAGCAUUUUCACUCUCUGGACUCGAUUUUAAAAAAAUAACUGCAACCAUACCAGAGGUCUAAAUGCUACAUUUUAUGUCACAUGAAAGAUAAUUGAUCUACUUUUCAGGAAAAAAAACCUCAUCUCAUUUAGAGCUCUAUAGAAAAAGUUAUGGGUAAAACAUUGAACAAAGGUCAGAGCUGUCC